rnacentral:piRNA from 1 species
UGAUGGCACAUUUGAUCUUUGAAGAG